rnacentral:rRNA from 1 species
ACGAACGCUGGCGGCGUGCUUAACACAUGCAAGUCGAACGGAAAGGCCUGCUUUCCCUUGUGGAUUGCGGGUACUCGAGUGGCGAACGGGGGAGUAACACGUGAGUGAUCUGCCCCCAACUUGGGUAUAAGCCUGGGAAACUGGGUCUAAUUCCCGAUAGGACUGCAGGGUGGUGCCUGUGGUGGAAAACGAUUUUCUAGUGGUUGGGGAUGAGCUCGCGGCCUAUCAGCUUGUUGGUGGGGUAAUGGCCUACCAAGGCGGCGACGGGUAGCCGGCCUGAGAGGGUGGACGGCCACAUUGGGACUGAGAUACGGCCCAGACUCCUACGGGAGGCAGCAGUGGGGAAUAUUGCACAAUGGGCGGAAGCCUGAUGCAGCGACGCCGCGUGGGGGAUGACGGCCUUCGGGUUGUAAACUCCUUUCGACCGCGAGGAAGCCACCUGGUUGGAAGGGUGGUGACGGUAGUGGUAGAAGAAGCACCGGCUAACUACGUG